UGGGGAAUAUUGCACAAUGGGGGAAACCCUGAUGCAGCGACGCCGCGUGAACGAAGAAGGUAUUCGUAUCGUAAAGUUCUGUCCUAUGGGAAGAUAAUGACAGUACCAUAGAAGAAAGCUCCGGCUAAAUACGUGCCAGCAGCCGCGGUAAUACGUAUGGAGCGAGCGUUGUCCGGAAUUAUUGGGCGUAAAGGGUACGCAGGCGGUUUAAUAAGUCGAAUGUUAAAGAUCGGGGCUCAACCCCGCAAAGCAUUGGAAACUGAUAAACUUGAGUAGUGGAGAGGAAAGUGGAAUUCCUAGGGUAGUGGUGAAAUACGUAGAUAUUAGGAGGAAUAACAGUAGCGAAGGCGACUUUCUGGACACAAACUGACGCUGAGGUACGAAAGCGGGGGGAGCAAACAGG
rnacentral:rRNA from 1 species